AUUGAACGCUGGCGGUAGGCUUAACACAUGCGAGUCGAGCGAGAAAGUAUCUUCGGAUAUGAGUAGAGCGGCGGACGGGUGAGUAACGCGUAGGAAUCUACCUAGUAGAAGGGGAUAGCCCGGGGAAACUCGGAUUAAUACCGUAUACCUCCUAAGGGAGAAAGAGGGCCUCUCUUGAUGCUCUCGCUAUUAGAUGAGCCUGCGUAAGAUUAGCUUGUUGGUAAGGUAAUGGCUUACCAAGGCUACGAUCUUUAGCUGGUCUGAGAGGACGAUCAGCCACGUUGGGACUGAGACACGGCCCAGACUCCUACGGGAGGCAGCAGUGGGGAAUAUUGGACAAUGGGCGCAAGCCUGAUCCAGCCAUACCGCGUGUGUGAAGAAGGCCUUCGGGUUGUAAAGCACUUUAAGCAGGGAGAAAAAGCAAUAAGUUAAUACCUUAUUGCCGUGAUGUUACCUGCAGAAUAAGCACCGGCUAAUUCCGUGCCAGCAGCCGCGGUAAUACGGAAGGUACAAGCGUUAAUCGGAAUUACUGGGCGUAAAGCGCGCGUAGGUGGUUUGUUAAGUUGGAUGUGAAAGCCCUGGGCUCAACCUAGGAACUGCAUCCCAAACUAACUCACUAGAGUACGAUAGAGGGAGGUAGAAUUCAUAGUGUAGCGGUGGAAUGCGUAGAUAUUAUGAAGAAUACCAGUGGCGAAGGCGGCCUCCUGGAUCUGUACUGACACUAAGGUGCGAAAGCGUGGGUAGCGAACAGGAUUAGAUACCCUGGUAGUCCACGCCGUAAACGAUGACAACUAGCUGUUGGGAGACAAUGUCUUUCAGUGGCGCAGCUAACGUUUUAAGUUGUCCGCCUGGGGGAGUACGGCCGCAAGGCUAAAACUCAAAUGAAUUGACGGGGACCCGCACAAGCGGUGGGAGCAUGGUGGUUUAAUUCGAUGCAACGCGAAAAACCUUACCUACUCUUGACAUACUUGGA
rnacentral:rRNA from 1 species